UACGUAGGGUGCAAGCGUUGUCCGGAAUUAUUGGGCGUAAAGAGCUCGUAGGCGGUUCGUCGCGUCGGCUGUGAAAACCCGGAGCUCAACUCCGGGCCUGCAGUCGAUACGGGCAGGCUUGAGUUCGGUAGGGGAGACUGGAAUUCCUGGUGUAGCGGUGAAAUGCGCAGAUAUCAGGAGGAACACCGGUGGCGAAGGCGGGUCUCUGGGCCGCAACUGACGCUGAGGAGCGAAAGCAUGGGGAGCGAACAGG
rnacentral:rRNA from 1 species